UAGGGAAUAUUAGUAAUGGGCGAAAGCCUGAACUAGCAACGCCGCGUGUGCGGAGAAGGCCUUCGGGUUGUAAAGCACUUUUUGAGAGGAUGAGGAAGGACGGUACUCUCAGAAUAAGUCUCGGCUAACUACGUGCCAGCAGCCGCGGUAACACGUAGGAGGCGAACGUUAUCCGGAUUUACUGGGCGUAAAGCGCGUGUAGGUGGUUUGGUAAGUAGGGCGUGAAAGCUCCUGGCUCAGCUGGGAGAGGCCGUUCUAAACUGCCGAACUAGAGGAUGGUAGAGGGAGGUGGAAUUCCGGGUGUAGCGGUAGAAUGCGCAGAUAUCCGGAGGAACACCAGUGGAGAAAGCGGCCGCCUGGAACAUUCCUGACACUCAGACGCGAAAGCUAGGGUAGCAAA
rnacentral:rRNA from 1 species